rnacentral:rRNA from 1 species
GAUGAACGCUGGCGGCGUGCCUAAUACAUGCAAGUCGAGCGAACGGACGAGAAGCUUGCUUCUCUGAUGUUAGCGGCGGACGGGUGAGUAACACGUGGAUAACCUACCUAUAAGACUGGGAUAACUUCGGGAAACCGGAGCUAAUACCGGAUAAUAUUUUGAACCGCAUGGUUCAAAAGUGAAAGACGGUCCUGCUGUCACUUAUAGAUGGAUCCGCGCUGCAUUAGCUAGUUGGUAAGGUAACGGCUUACCAAGGCAACGAUGCAUAGCCGACCUGAGAGGGUGAUCGGCCACACUGGAACUGAGACACGGUCCAGACUCCUACGGGAGGCAGCAGUAGGGAAUCUUCCGCAAUGGGCGAAAGCCUGACGGAGCAACGCCGCGUGAGUGAUGAAGGUCUUCGGAUCGUAAAACUCUGUUAUUAGGGAAGAACAUAUGUGUAAGUAACUGUGCACAUCUUGACGGUACCUAAUCAGAAAGCCACGGCUAACUACGUG